rnacentral:misc_RNA from 1 species
UCCGGCUUGUCGCCGGCGGCCCCUCUAGAGUGCUCAAUAAAGUAGCAACUAACAGCAAGGGUUGCGCUCGUUAAAGGACUUAACCCAACAUCUCACGACACGAGCUGACGACAGCCAUGCAGCACCUGUGUACCGGCCUAUUUCUAGGACGAUCCGCCGUUGUCUAGCCCAGGUAAGGUUCUUCGCGUUGCGUCGAAUUGAACCACAUGCUCCACCGCUUGUGCGGGCCCCCGUCAAUUCCUUUGAGUUUCAGCCUUGCGGCCGUACUCCCCAGGCGGGGCACUUAAUGCGUUAGCGCCGGCCCUCGGGGGGUCGCUCCCCCAAGCGCCUAGUGCCCAUCGUUUACGGCGUGGACUAC